CCCAUUUGGCGCCCUCUUGGGCCUCUUUCGCACAAUCUCCUUUGCCUCUUCUUCCUCUUCUUCCUUCACUCUUCCAAUAUCACAAGAUUCACAAGCGUGCGGACGCCAUAUCUUUGCUUGUUUCUUUCAUCAGCUCUGGUCGCCAACAUGUUCUCCAUGGCUACUUUGUUAAGCCCGGUAACUGGGACCCCAAGAAAUGUGGUAUUAAGACGUCGAAACUGCUUUUCGACUCCUGUAUCAGCGCCUAUGUUGAGUCCGGGAAGCCCCACUUGGCUGCUCAGAUUUUUAGUAAAAUGAAGAGGUUGAAGUACAGCCCAGAUGGUUGACUGCAAUGUGCUUGCAAAUGGAUUGGUAAGACACUCUUCUUCGCCUUCAAUUUUGCUUGCUUAUAAAGUUUUAAAGAUAUGACUAAUGUACUUUGAAGUUAAACCUGAUACUAGUACUAUUAAUGUUGUGAUACAUGGAUGUUGCUUGGCGAAUAAGUUUGUGGAUGCGCUUGGGUGGCUGAAGAAAAUGGAGGGUUUUGGUCGUUUACCAGAUAAUAUAACUUACUAUAUCGGAUGCUUUGUGUAAGAAAGUUGGGUUCAGUCAGGCUAGGGAUUUGUUAUCAGGUAUAAAGAAUGAAGGGUUGUUACCCAAUUGGAGCACGUAUAAUAUUUUGGUAUGUGGGUAUUGUAAGUUGGGGUGGUUAAAGGAGGCAAUGAAGGUGGAGUUGAUGACAUUGGAUAAAUUGUUGCCGGAUUUUUGGACACAUAUUAUGUUGAUUAAUGGGAUGUGUAAUGACAAGGCAUUUCAGUUGAGGAAUGAGAUGGAGAAUUUGAAGCUGUUGCCGGAUGUGGUUACAUAUAAUACUAUAAUUCAUGGAUGUUUUGAAUCGGGUAGUAGUUUAGAGCAUUUGAGUUGAUUAAUAAAAUGGGUGAGAAAGGAGUGAAACUGAAUGCAGUUGGAGAAAGGAGUGACGCUGAAUGCAGUUAGAGAAAGGAGUGAAGCUGAAUGCAGUUACUCAUAAUAUUAUAAUUAAGUGGUAUUUAGAAGAAGGCAAAAUUGACUAAGCCAUUAAUACCAUGAGGAAAAUGGAAGAAACUACUAUUCCACUAGACACUGUUACACUAUUUUGAUAAAUGGAUAUCGUAAAGCAGGGAAGAUGGUUGAAGCUUUCGGAACAAUGGAUGAGUUGAAGAUGAAUAAUUUUACACUUAAUACCAUUCUUCAUACACUGGGGGGAGAAGAAGCUUGAUGAGGCGUACAACUUGCUUGAUAGAGCCAUCAUGAGGGGAUUUUAUCUUGAUGAGGCAAGCUAUGGCACUCUUAUCACAGGAUAUUUUAAGGAUGAAAAGGGCUAUGUCAUUCAGAAAUGACUGAGCAUGCCAUUUACAAGCUGAAUGAGCUUCUUGAGAGUGGUUUAAUCCCAGAUGAAACCACAUACAAUUCAAAUAUUCAUGGGUACUGCAAGGAGGGACAAGUUGAAAAAGCAUUUCAGUCUCAAACCUGACGUCGUUACAUUUAUUAUUCUUCUUGCAGGGCUUUGUAGGGAGGGUAUGCUAGAAAAGGCUCUUAAACUCUUCAACACAUGGAUUUCAAAAGGGAGGAAAUUUGAUGCAACUACUUACAACAAGAUGAUAUCAAGUCUAUGCAGGGAAGGGAGAUUCAAGGAUGCAUUUGAUGAGGUAUAUGAAAUGAAAAAAAAGAAACCAGUGCCCGAUCAUUAUACAUUUAAUAUCAUUCAGGGGGCACUAAUUAAUGCCUGUAAGCUUCAAGAAGCAGAGGAUUUCAAGUCUAAAAUGGUUGAAAAAGGAUCUGCCAAUUCAAUUGGGAGAGGGGCAGAGUGUAGUGACUACUUCUGAGGGAUUGGAUUCUAGUUCCUUUGCUUACUCAGGAGCGGAGAAAUGAGCUCUGUACUCUAUGGAAACACAAGGAUGCAAUGACCAAAUUUUGAGAAAACAAUGCAAAAGAGCAUCAUUGUAAACAAAUCAACCUACAUGAAUUUAGUGGAUGGACUAAUCAAAAGGCAAAAAAGCAUUUCAAAAGCUGACCAAAGUAGCCAAGAUCUCUUGGGCACUUCAGAACAUCAUCAAACAGAGCAGUUUGGCAUAGAUUCAGCCACACUGAAGACAGAAGGUAAGUUUUUUUCAGAAGUUGUUUGUAUUCACAAAAGAUCUCACUACCUUGCAACACCCUUUUUGGUGUGAUGUUGUUUGUGGCAUUUUGUUGAAUUUAUAAUUUUUUAAUAUCUGGAAUUAAUUGACGGAGAAAGAUGCAUUGCCUGAAUUCUGGUACACCUUGUAUAGUAUGCAUCAUAGAUUGAUUUACCUACUUUGUAUUGUGUAUCCAUAUACAUGUAUUAAAAUUUCAAUAAUAAGUUGCCAAUAUUAGUGAAUUAGGACG